rnacentral:rRNA from 1 species
GAUGAACGCUGGCGGCGUGCUUAACACAUGCAAGUCGAACGGAAAGGCUCCUGCUUGCAGGGGUACUCGAGUGGCGAACGGGUGAGUAACACGUGGGUGAUCUGCCCUGCACUUCGGGAUAAGCCUGGGAAACUGGGUCUAAUACCGGAUAGGACGAUGGUUUGGAUGCCAUUGUGGAAAGUUUUUCGGUGUGGGAUGAGCUCGCGGCCUAUGAGCUUGUUGGUGGGGUAAUGGCCUACCAAGGCGUCGACGGGUAGCCGGCCUGAGAGGGUGUACGGCCACAUUGGGACUGAGAUACGGCCCAGACUCCUACGGGAGGCAGCAGUGGGGAAUAUUGCACAAUGGGCGCAAGCCUGAUGCAGCGACGCCGCGUGGGGGAUGACGGCCUUCGGGUUGUAAACUCCUUUCGCUAGGGACGAAGCGCAAGUGACGGUACCUGGAGAAGAAGCACCGGCUAACUACGUG